GAAAUGCGAUAAGUAAUGUGAAUUGCAGAAUUCAGUGAAUCAUCGAAUCUUUGAACGCACCUUGCGCUCCUUGGUAUUCCUUGGAGCAUGCCUGUUUGAGUAUCAUGAAAUCUUCAAAGUAAAUCUUUUGUUAACUCAAUUGGUUUCUACUUUGGUAUUGGAGGUCUUUGCAGCUUCACACCUGCUCCUCUUUGUUCAUUAGCUGGAUCUCAGUGUUAUGCUUGGUUCCACUCGGCGUGAUAAGUUAUCUAUCGCUGAGGACACUGUAAAAGGUGGCCAAGGUAAAUUCAGAUGAACCGCUUCUAAUAGUCCAUUGACUUGGACAAUACUUUUAUGAUCUGAUCUCAAAUCAGGUAGGAUUACCCGCUGAACUUAAGC
rnacentral:misc_RNA from 1 species